UCGAGGGGCAGCACAGGUAGCAAUACCGGGUGGCGACCGGCGCACGGGUGAGUAACGCGUAUGCAACUUACCUAUCAGAGGGGGAUAACCCGGCGAAAGUCGGACUAAUACCGCAUGAAGCAGGGGCCCCGCAUGGGGAUAUUUGCUAAAGAUUCAUCGCUGAUAGAUAGGCAUGCGUUCCAUUAGGCAGUUGGCGGGGUAACGGCCCACCAAACCGACGAUGGAUAGGGGUUCUGAGAGGAAGGUCCCCCACAUUGGUACUGAGACACGGACCAAACUCCUACGGGAGGCAGCAGUGAGGAAUAUUGGUCAAUGGCCGAGAGGCUGAACCAGCCAAGUCGCGUGAGGGAUGAAGGUUCUAUGGAUCGUAAACCUCUUUUAUAAGGGAAUAAAGUGCGGGACGUGUCCCGUUUUGUAUGUACCUUAUGAAUAAGGAUCGGCUAACUCCGUGCCAGCAGCCGCGGUAAUACGGAGGAUCCGAGCGUUAUCCGGAUUUAUUGGGUUUAAAGGGUGCGUAGGCGGCCUUUUAAGUCAGCGGUGAAAGUCUGUGGCUCAACCAUAGAAUUGCCGUUGAAACUGGGGGGCUUGAGUAUGUUUGAGGCANGCGGAAUGCGUGGUGUAGCGG
rnacentral:rRNA from 1 species